rnacentral:misc_RNA from 1 species
UACGGAGGGGGCUAGCGUUGUUCGGAAUUACUGGGCGUAAAGGGCGCGUAGGCGGACCGACAAGUCAGGGGUGAAAGGCCUGGGCUCAACCUGGGAACGGCCCUUGAAACUGACGGUCUUGAGUCCGGGAGAGGAUGGCGGAAUUCCCAGUGUAGAGGUGAAAUUCGUAGAUAUUGGGAGGAACACCAGUGGCGAAGGCGGCCAUCUGGACCGGCACUGACGCUGAGGCGCGAAAGCGUGGGGAGCAAACAGG